rnacentral:lncRNA from 1 species
UGAGUUCCGGCUGUCCGCGCCGUACCAGGGGACCUGGACCUCCUGACGGCUUACCUAGCAGUGCCCGGGAUGGUGGCUGAGGGUAAAGCUGACAGAACUGGAGGUGGAGGUGGAGGAAGUAGCAGGCCAGAGAGGACUCGAAGAUCCUUAGAAGGAGCCAUAGACGGAACCAUAGGAGGCGCCCAGGAGCUAUGGGCUCCAGAAGUUUCCUCCUAAACUAGUCUCAGCGAGGCUCAUUGACACUCACCGGGGGUUUGACAUUCCCCUUGGCUAGGGCCUGUUCUGGAAAUAGUCCAAGAGGGAGAUGGAGCCCCUGGCUCUGGGGCAUCCAAUCUGAUGGUGAUGAGAAGGCAUGAUGCCUCUUGUUCUAUUCUUUUUUCUUUCUUCUUUUUUAAAAAAAUAAAAGUCCAGUAAUGUGCUGACUUCAU